UCUAUGCACUUACUGUGUGGGAACACGGG
rnacentral:piRNA from 1 species